GGCCCUGAGGUCAUACAUUCAUUGUACAUUCAAUGAGCACCCUCUGUGUGCCAGACCCAAGGCUGAGAAAAGGACGCCUGACUUCGUGGAACUCGUUCAUGUUUCAAAGUCACAGUUGCUCACAGCGUAUACGUGCAGGAGACUAUGAACGUUUUCUGAAAGCUGGGAGCAUGGAGAGUGAUGUGUGUCCCAUCUUUAAGGAGCCCCCGGAUGGAAGCCAUCGUAGGCGCCUCUAAGACAUCCAAUAACUACCCCAGACGUUGGCGAACACCCCCUGAUACUCGGAAUACAUUAAAGAGGAAAUGCAUCUGUCUCCCUGCUCCUGUUUUCUUUUACUGACUUAGAAUUUUUUAAUGAUAAUCAGUGCUGGCAUUUCUAAAAGCCACAAAUAAGUAUAAUUACCACUUCUGAGCUGAGCACCUGUCUGUGGAGGAUCCUGACUAGACAAGGAAUUCAUAAGCCAGAGAGAAUCAGACAGGCUGCACAGAGCAGAAAAUCGAAACAGCCCUUGCCUUCCGCAUCCUACGGGGAACCUCUUCCAACCAUCCAGGUCAAGGCAGUACGUACCUCCACUAGUGGCAGAUGCCCUCCAGUCCAGUGAGGGACAGUGAUACUUGUGGAGAAGUCCUAUCUGAACAGGAUCUUUGGGGGAAUCCUUAAACUCAUAACUAAACCCAUCUUCCUGCCCCUCCCCUGUUGGAAGAGAACGUGUCAGCAAUAAGCCAAGCAGCUAAAAUGUAAAAUAUGAAGUCAAUUCAGAGAGAAAACUCAAGUGUUCACCACCACUUCCUUCACAGAAUCUUCCAGACGCCUGCAAGUUCUGCCUUUAAGUUGAACUGCUCAAGUUUAUGAACUGUGAAAUGUCCACAUCUACUCUCUCCCAGCCCACAUAGACCAUUCAAAUUUAUGAAGUUGUACCAAACUGCCCAUUCAGCUAAAUUGCAGUGUUUAUUCUUGUCCUGCAGAAGUGCCACAGCCUUAUGGGGAAUGUGACAGUUCACUCCAGCUGAUCAGAUGCAUACACAAACAACCUCGUCCCCACUGCUAGGCCACCUGCACAUCAUCCAUGCCUCCUUGUGACGUUCGGGGGUUUGGGAGUGGAUGGACGGAGAACCCAUCGUUUUCCUAGUGCGUUGUGUCCUAAAUCAAGCCUGGGGCCUAUCUUCUGUAAGUACAUACCCUGAAUAACAAACUGGGAAACACAAACUUCUCCAAGGAGCCCAGGAAAUUGGAGUUGCAGUCCACCAGAAAAAGUCACAUCUACUGCUGGACGCAUGAGGCUUUGAAGAACAUAAAACAUGUCCAUUGCGUGAAUUCCCAUUGCUUUUCUCGAAAUCUGAAAUCUGCUAAGGCAAGAGAAUCAGAGGCCCAGAGGGCAAGUAGUGGAAACAGAAUUUUCACCAUACUGUAGGUUUGUAAUGUAGGAUUCUGUGGCCGUAUCGUGUCAGGUCAUAUUUCUGGGUUUUCAAGAAGUCUUGUUUUACAAGUGUGCUUCAAGCUAGGUGCAAGUGUCACCUGCAGUCGUCUCCCUCCGCCCACCCCCGAAGCUGUGCAUCUUUGUAGUAGAGCUUGGCAGACGGUGAGCUCCUGUGGUUUACAACCUCCUGUAGGAUAGGGCUUCCAUAGUUCCCUUGCCAUAAACCUGUCCCCGAUUUCAUACCAAGUUCAGCUAAGACAAGGAAGGAAGAAGGAAGGAAGGAAGGAAGGAAGGAAGGAAGGAAGGAAGCCUGAGACCUUGGGGCAUUUCCCUUCACUUAAAUGGAAAUUGUAUUUUCUAAGAAUUCAGAAGUCUCUGUACAGCUUCUGGGCUGGGAGAACAGUGGGUUGCCAGCCACACGUCAGCAAUCGUGUUGCUCUCCAGAGCAUUAUUUAAUGGGCCCAAUGUGUACCUCAAGAUAAAUGCAGUAUAUUAUGUCUAAAACAAUUCAUUGUCUGUUGAUUUAAAUGGUUCUGAAAUGUCUAUAAAUAAAGAAAUUUUCAAGGUU
ensembl:lncRNA